AUUGAACGCUGGCGGUAUGCUUAAGACAUGCAAGUCGAACGGUAACAGACCUUCGGGUGCUGACGAGUGGCGGACGGGUGAGUAACACGUGGGAAUCUACCUUGUAGUGGGGGAUAAGCCAGGGAAACUUGGACUAAUACCGCAUACGCCCCAAGGGGGAAAGGCGCAAGUCGCUAUAAGAUGAGCCCGCGUCUGAUUAGGUAGUUGGUAGGGUAAAGGCCUACCAAGCCUGCGAUCAGUAGCUGGUCUGAGAGGAUGGCCAGCCACAUUGGGACUGAGACACGGCCCAGACUCCUACGGGAGGCAGCAGUGGGGAAUUUUGGACAAUGGGCGCAAGCCUGAUCCAGCCAUGCCGCGUGCGGGAAGAAGGCCUUCGGGUUGUAAACCGCUUUUGGCAGGAACGAAACGGCGCAGGCCAAUACCUUGCGCUAAUGACGGUACCUGCAGAAUAAGCACCGGCUAACUA
rnacentral:rRNA from 1 species